UCAGAAGCUACACUCAGGAGUGGAGGUGGAUGCAUCUUGAGGUGUAGGUGAUAGGAAAUUACACCUAGGAGUGGAAGUGGAGAUUGAAGAGGUGUUCUCUUGUAUAGGUUCUUCGGUUUCAGUUUCAUCAACAUCUCCCUCCUGCAUACAACGGUAUUGAAAGCAAAAAAAAUCAUAAUCAAAUUUCAUUUGUGUUUCAUGCCGGUUACGAACGUGUACAAAGAAAAAAUCAGACCUGCGCAUAAUUCAUUAUUGGCCCAUUCACGAAUAAAUCCUUUUUGAUAAGGAACAUAUUCCUUUCCGCCCACCGCGUAUUGCAAUGCGUGUAAAAUUUGUUGAAAUUCUUCCAAUUUUUAUCUUUUUCCGGGCCUCUUUCCUUUAAUUUGAUUUCUCUAAAAUCAGCAAUGCGUUUUUUCACAUGUUCCGGCUCCAACCCCAACUGUUUCCAACAAAUAUGUACAGGAUGUUUUGCAAUAUUACCAAAGCAGAUGAUAUAUACUUUCGCAUAUACCAUCCAACUUUGAUAUUGGAAUUGAUCGAGCAAUUCAGCUUCUAGACCAUCCCUCUUAUAAGGGAACAAAUCCACCUUUGAAACAUAAAAUAAAGUAUUAAUAAACUAAAAUAUUGUUAGAAGUUGAAUUAUUGUUAAAUCUUCGAAAUCAGCCCUGUUAUUAUUAACAGGAUAUAUAUCAAUUGUAGGAAGAAGACUAACACACUAACUAACUAACUGAGUUUUUAACUUACUAACAUCUAGACUUGACUAAGCUAAGCUAUACAACAAGAUAGAUAAUCAUUGAACUAUAUACUCUAAAUAAGUACAAUUCACUUUUGAGAUGUAGCAAACUUACCUCUUCAUCUGUCAUUUCCCGAAGCUUAUCAUAACAAGUUGCCAU
rnacentral:lncRNA from 1 species